AUACGUAGGUGGCAAGCGUUAUCCGGAAUUAUUGGGCGUAAAGCGCGCGCAGGCGGUCCUUUAAGUCUGAUGUGAAAGCCCACGGCUCAACCGUGGAGGGUCAUUGGAAACUGGGGGACUUGAGUGCAGAGGAGGAGAGCGGAAUUCCACGUGUAGCGGUGAAAUGCGUAGAGAUGUGGAGGAACACCAGUGGCGAAGGCGGCUCUCUGGUCUGUAACUGACGCUGAGGCGCGAAAGCGUGGGGAGCGAACAGGAUUAGAUACCCUGGUAGUCCACGCCGUAAACGAUGAGUGCUAAGUGUUAGAGGGUUUCCGCCCUUUAGUGCCGAAGUCAACGCAUUAAGCACUCCGCCUGGGGAGUACGGUCGCAAGACUGAA
rnacentral:rRNA from 1 species